AAGGCUUUGUCAUUGACUGCUUCCUGACCUACUUUAUUUCACACGUGUAGACUGGGAAGGCUUUCAUCAGUUGCUGAUCAUCCUCUUCUGGAAAGUAAAGCUGGCAAUACUAUUUUUAUUUUCAUUUUAGGAAAAAGAAUGUUACUCGUGCCCUAAGGCAAGGUCAUAAUUUGCCUUCAGUUUAGGUAAUGUGAAAGAACAUGCCUAUUAGAGCUUUUGUUUUGGAUAUUUACUGCCAGUUCUUCACUAAAACAAAAGAAGCUGCAUCCUUAUAUCUUCAGAAUGUUUUGAGACCAGCAGAGACACUCCAGCCUGUUGGUGCCUUUUUGUUUCCAGUCUGGGAGGUCAGCCAAAGAAAACACUGCCUCUUAAACAGAGAUGACAAAAAAUGGAGGAGCAUACCACUAUCAAGCCUUAAAAUACAGCUCUAAUUCUUACUCCAACUCUGAAGAACUCAAUAUAUAUCACUUGAGAAGGUUUGCAAUGUAGGUUGCAAUGAAAUAAGUAAUUAGAUUGAGCAAGAACUGUUCUUUGGUUCACUUACUUUAUAGUAGUAAAUACCCUGAUUUCUGUUUUCUCUAGUUAUUUCAUUGUUAUCUCAACUGAGAAAUGGAGAUGUGGUAUUUUAUGUUUUGUAUCUGUAAAGCUUUUAAGACUUUCACACUAUAUGUCCUGAUUUAUGCAUCACUAUUUAAUAUGAAUAAUUAUUAAAGUCUUUUUCUGUGAUGAAAACAAAGUAUUUAAUUAAGUUGUUAUCUCAGAAUGCUUCACACUGCUAAUUUUGCUACCAUCAUGGUAUUAGCUUUUACUGGCAGAAUGCAUUUAAAAAGACUGCUCAAAAGAGGUUCUGAAGUUGUUUCCCAAGCAUGUACUCACUGCUGGGGACAGAAGAUGGCUUUGGAACUGCAUUUCCUUUUUACAAGCUCUCUUCAACAGGAAACAUGAAACUGCUAGAAAUAUUUUGAUUUAUGUGCUGUGAGAGAAAUGCGAGGUCUUUGAACAGUUGUGACCUGCAAUAGGAAUGCUGAGGCACUGAAUGGUGUCAGGGUCAGUAAUAGAUCUAUGGUUGUGUUCUUCUAUU
rnacentral:lncRNA from 1 species